rnacentral:tRNA from 1 species
GGAGGGGUGGCCGAGUGGUCGAAGGCGUCCCGCUUGAAACGGGAUGACCGAAAGGUCCGUGGGUUCGAAUCCUACCCCCUCCGCCA